GGAGCAGUGGCGCAGUUGGGAGCGCGUUAGACUGAAGAUCUAAAGGUCGCCGGUUCAAUCCCGGUCUGCUCCA